CUGGCUCAGACGAACGCUGGCAGCGUGGAUUAGGCAUGCAAGUCGAACGGGAUCGGGAAGGUAGCAAUAUCGGCCCGUGAGAGUGGCGGAAGGGCGAGGAACACGUGGGCAACCUGUCCUUGAGGUGGGGAAAACCGUUGGAAACGACGGCUAAUACCGAAUGUGGCGCCGGGAGGCAUCUUCCGCGCGCUAAAGGGGGCCGCAAGGCUCCCCCUCUUCGAGGGGCUCGCGCACCAUCAGCUUGUUGGCGGGGUAACGGCCCACCAAGGCUCACGGUUAGCUGGUCUGAGAGGAUGGCCAGCCGCACUGGGACUGAGAUACUGCCCAGACUCCUACGGGAGGCUGCAGUCGAGGAUCAUUCGCAAUGGGGGAAACCCUGACGACGCGACGCUGCGUGGAGGAUGAAGGCCCUCGGGUCGUAAACUCCUGUCAUGAGGGAAAAGGCGAGGGGACCCAACACGUCCCUUAGUUGAUGGUACCUCAAGAGGAACGGGCGGCUAACUCUGUGCCAGCAGCCGC
rnacentral:rRNA from 1 species